ensembl:snRNA U6 U6 spliceosomal RNA
AUGCUCACUUCGGCAGCACAUAUACUAAAAUUGGAAUGAUACAGAGAAGAUUAGCAUGGUCUCGGGCAAGGGCGACAUGCAAAUUAGUAAAGCAUUCCAUAUUUUU